rnacentral:rRNA from 1 species
CCUACGGGAGGCAGCAGUGAGGAAUAUUGGUCAAUGGGCGCGAGCCUGAACCAGCCAAGUAGCGUGAAGGAUGACUGCCCUAGGGGUUGUAAACUUCUUUUAUAAGGGAAUAAAGAGAGGCAUGCGUGCCUUUUUGUAUGUACUUUAUGAAUAAGGAUCGGCUAACUCCGGGCCAGCAGCCGCGGUAAUACGGAGGAUCCGAGCGUUAUCCGGAUUUAUUGGGUUUAAAGGGAGCGUAGAUGGGUUGUUAAGUCAGUUGUGAAAGUUUGGGGCUCAACCGGAGAAUUGCAUUUGAUACUGGCAGUCUUGAGUACAGUAGAGGUAUGCGGAAUUCGUGGUGUAGCGGUGAAAUGCUUAGAUAUCACGAAGAACUCCGAUGGCGAAGGCAGCUUACUAAACUGCCACUGACAUUGAUGCUCGAAAGUGUGGGUAUCAAACAGGAUUAGAUACCCUGGUAGUC